rnacentral:SRP_RNA from 1 species
ACCAGGCAUUGUGGCCAGUGCCUGUAGUCCCAGCUACUUGGGAGGCUGAGGCAGGAGAAUCACCUAAGCCCAAGAGCUGGAGGUUGCUGUGAGCUGUGAUGCUACGGCACUCUACUGAGGGCGACAAACUGAGACUCUGUCUCUAAAAAAGAAAAGAAACAUAAUAAAAACAUUAUUUAUUGUUUUAUCCUCUAUUUUUUUUUUUUUUUUUUAGAGACAGAGUCUCACUUUGUUGCCCUCAGUAGAGUACUAUGGUGUCACAGCUCACAGCAACCGCUAGCUCUUGGGCUUAGGUGAUUCUCUUGCCUCAG